UACAGAGAAAGAUGGGACCUUUGGAGAGU
rnacentral:piRNA from 1 species